rnacentral:tRNA from 1 species
GAGUUAAGUUUACAGACGGUACUGUAAUAGACCUGCAAAGUCUACAAUUAAAGGUUCAAUUCCUUCUUAACUCU